CCGUACUCGGGGCUCCGGACCGGCUGCCAUCUUAGUCGAGGGAGUGAGGAGUCGCCACCGCCCCGAGUCCCGGUAACAUGCAUUUCACAGUGGCCUUCUGGAGACAACGCCUUAACCCAAAGAAGUGACUCCAUUGGUUUGCUGUACUAUUGGUGGUAUGUCUGACAGUGGAUCACAACUUGUUUCAAUGGGUAGCCUGACCAUGAAAUCACAACUUCAGAUCACUGGUAAGUCAUAAAAAG